GACGAACGCUGGCGGCAUGCCUAACACAUGCAAGUCGAACGGUAAGGCUUCCUUCGGGAAGUACACGAGUGGCGAACGGGUGAGUAACACGUAGGUAACCUACUCUUGCCUGGGGGACAACCGAGGGAAACUUCGGCUAAUACCGCAUAACGUGCAUUGCCUCAAGGUGGUGUACCAAAGCUACGGCGGUUAAGGAUGGGCCCGCGGCAGAUUAGCUAGUUGGUGAGGUAACGGCUUACCAAGGCGACGCUCUGUAGCUGGUCUGAUAGGACGAGCAGCCAAACUGGAAGUGAGGCACGGUCCAGGCACAUUCGGGAGGAAGCAGUGGAGAAUUUUGGGCAAUGGGCGAAAGGCUGACGCAGCAAUGCCGCGUGAGGGAAGACGGCCUUAGGGUUGUAGACCUCAUUCAGCAGGGACGAGCACAGACGGUACCUGCAGAAGAAGCCCCGGCUAACUACGUGCCAGCAGCCGCCGUAA
rnacentral:rRNA from 1 species